rnacentral:rRNA from 1 species
AGUAACGCGUGGGUAACCGUGCCUCAUACAGGGGGAUAACAAGUUAGAAAUAGACUGCUAAUACCGCAUAAGCGCACAGUGCUGCAUGGCACAGUGUGAAAAACUCCGGUGGUAUGAGAUGGACCCGCGUCUGAUUAGCUAGUUGGUGGGGUAACGGCCUACCAAGGCGACGAUCAGUAGCCGGCCUGAGAGGGUGAACGGCCACAUUGGGACUGAGACACGGCCCAA